rnacentral:lncRNA from 1 species
AGCAGCCUCCCUGGAGCCGCUCCCCUUCCCCGGUGCGGCUGCUUUGCAUUCCACAGGCACUCUAGACCGAAGGGCUGUUUGUCUAAAUGGCUUGGUACACAGACUUCUCACAUGCUUCAAUUCAGGCUCCAGAUUCUCUGGUCUCUGAGAGACAAAAGGAAUUUCAGUGCAUUCCAUGCGCCUAACAUCUUCCCACAGCAAGAGGAGAGGUGA